rnacentral:rRNA from 1 species
CGACAAUAUACAAGGUGCUGCAUGGUUGUCGUCAGCUCGUGCCGUGAGGUGUCGGGUUAAGUCCCAUAACGAGCGCAACCCCUAUCAUUUAGUUGCCAUCAGGUCAAGCUGGGGACUCUAAUGAAACUGCCUACGCAAGUAGUGAGGAAGGUGGGGAUGACGUCAAAUCAGCACGGCCCUUACGCCUAGGGCUACACACGUACUACAAUGGCGCAUACAAAGGGCAGCGAUACCGCGAGGUGGAGCCAAUCCCAAAAAGUGCGUCCCAGUCCGGAUUGCAGUCUGCAACUCGACUGCAUGAAGUUGGAAUCGCUAGUAAUUCGAGAUCAGCAUGCUCGGGUGAAUGCGUUCCCGGGCCUU